rnacentral:misc_RNA from 1 species
GGAAGGAUCAUUACCGAAUUUUAUAAAGUAAAAAGAAUCAUUUUUUAAUUGGUUUGGAAAAUAUUUUUUUCAAACUAGUUAAAAAAUGACAAUUUUACAAAAACACCCCUUUUGUGAACAAAAUUGUUUUUAUUUUUCGGAUAAAUUUACAAGUGGUUGAAAAAUGGCAAAAAUUAAAAUUAUGCCAUUUUUCAAUUGGUAGAGAUUGAAGAAAAAAUAACAAAAAAAAACUUGAAAAUUUAAGCCUUAAUAAAAUAUAAAAUAAUAAAAAAAACAACUUUUAACAACGGAUCUCUAGGCUCUCGCAACUAUGAAGAACGCAGUGAAACGCGUUAUGUAAUGUGAAUUGCAGAAUUUUGUGAAUCAUCGAAUUUUCGAACGCAACUUGCGCUUCCUGGAUAUCCAGGGAGCAUGUCUGUUUGAGUGUCAUAAAAUAAAAAAAUCUCCAACAAAAAAUCAUAUUUUGUUAAUGGAGGAAAAUUGAGUGAAAAAUUCACAAUUGAAAAGGAAUUGUGUCACUUUAAGUAAAGGAAUUGGGGAUAAAAGGAAAAAAACAAAAUAGUCAAAAUUUCAAAAAGUCUAUUGCGAAUUUCAAUAGGGUUUUUGAAACUUUAUGGGAAAAGAAAUAGUUUAUUUUCAUCAACACGAAGAGAAAAAAGCCCUAGCAAUAAAAGAUUACGAUUUCGUCUCAAUUUGUUUAGAUAAAUUUUCCCUAGUGUAAAGGUUUCUUUACACAUUUCCGAUUCAAAACCGCGAUUAAGGAUUUAAUGGGAGUAAUCCAAAAUUUCCAAGAAAUUUAAAUCUUUCUAAAUCGUGGCCUCAAAUCAGACAAGACUACCCGCUGAACUUAAGCAUAUCAGUAAGCGGAGGAAAAGAAACUAACAAGGAUUCCCUUAGUAGCGGCGAGCGAAGCGGGAAGAGCUCAAAUUUGAAAGCUGGGAGGGCUAACCCUCUCCGCAUUGUAAACUAAAGAAGCGUUUUCGAUCCAGAUUAUUUCCGGUACAAGUUCCUUGGAACAGGGCAUCAUAGAGGGUGAGAAUCCCGUCUGUGACUGGGAAAGAUCUGGGUUUCAUGAUACGCUCUCAACGAGUCGGGUUGCUUGGGAUUGCAGCCCAAAAUGGGUGGUAAAUUUCAUCUAAGGCUAAAUAUUGGCGAGAGACCGAUAGCGAACAAGUACCGUGAGGGAAAGAUGAAAAGAACUUUGAAAAGAGAGUUAAAUAGUACGUGAAAUUGUUAAAAGGGAAGCGAUUGAAACUAGUAAAAAACAUGCGGGUUGGCAAACCAAUUGGGUUUCUUGUCUUAGUAGGCAGACUGAUUGUUGUAGAGUCAAUUCCCGUGUGGAACUCGGCCUAUACAGUCGGAUUCUAGCUUAUACAGACCAAUUCAUCUUGCCAACAAGAAUUUUUCACCGCAGGACAGCACUGGUUUGUUCUGUUGGAAAAGCGGCUUUGGCAAGGUAGCUUGACUUUUUAUAAUUUCGAGUGUUUAGGCCAGAGCAUGUUUAAAACAAUGGGAUAGACCAGACAAAACUGGCUCAUGUUGCUACGGCGACCGGGACAAUCCAUUUGCAUCACCUUGACAACAGACGGACUAGCGCAGUCUUUGCAAAACAGGGAUUGCCUAUACUAUCAGGUUGUUGUUGGAAUGACGAGUUGGUUUUUGUCACUAGCGAGCUCAAUUUUGCUGUCGAAAUGGUUUUAACCGACCCGUCUUGAAACACGGACCAAGGAGUCCAACAUGUAUGCGAGUAUUUGGGUGGCGAAAACCCGAAUGCGUAACGAAAGUAAACGCAGGUGGGAAGAUUUAUUGAUUUUUAAUCAAUUUACAAUCAGCACCAUCGACCGAUCAGGAUUGACUGACUUGUCUGGAAACAGGCGGGACUACUCAUGAAACGACUCGCGUAAGAGCAUACCUGUUGGGACCCGAAAGAUGGUGAACUAUGCCUGAGUAGGGUGAAGCCAGAGGAAACUCUGGUGGAGGCUCGUAGCGAUACUGACGUGCAAAUCGUUCGUCAAACUUGGGUAUAGGGGCGAAAGACUAAUCGAACCAUCUAGUAGCUGGUUCCCUC